GACGUAGGGCGCGAGCGUUGUCCGGAUUUAUUGGGCGUAAAGAGCUCGUAGGCGGCUUGUCGCGUCGUCCGUGAAAACCUGCAGCUCAACUGCAGGCUUGCGGUCGAUACGGGCAGGCUAGAGUUCGGUAGGGGAGACUGGAAUUCCUGGUGUAGCGGUGAAAGGCGCAGAUAUCAGGAGGAACACCGGUGGCGAAGGCGGGUCUCUGGGCCGAUACUGACGCUGAGGAGCGAAAGCGUGGGGAGCGAACAGG
rnacentral:rRNA from 1 species